GAUGAACGCUGGCGGCGUGCCUAAUACAUGCAAGUCGAGCGAACAGACGAGGAGCUUGCUCCUCUGACGUUAGCGGCGGACGGGUGAGUAACACGUGGAUAACCUACCUAUAAGACUGGGAUAACUUCGGGAAACCGGAGCUAAUACCGGAUAAUAUAUUGAACCGCAAGGUUCAAUAGUGGAAGACGGUUUUGCUGUCACUUAUAGAUGGAUCCGCGCCGCAUUAGCUAGUUGGUAAGGUAACGGCUUACCAAGGCAACGAUGCGUAGCCGACCUGAGAGGGUGAUCGGCCACACUGGAACUGAGACACGGUCCAGACUCCUACGGGAGGCAGCAGUAGGGAAUCUUCCGCAAUGGGCGAAAGCCUGACGGAGCAACGCCGCGUGAGUGAUGAAGGUCUUCGGAUCGUAAAACUCUGUUAUUAGGGAAGAACAAAUGUGUAAGUAACUAUGCACGUCUUGACGGUACCUAAUCAGAAAGCCACGGCUAACUACGUG
rnacentral:rRNA from 1 species